rnacentral:rRNA from 1 species
CCUACGGGCGGCAGCAGUGGGGAAUAUUGGGCAAUGGACGAAACUCUGACCCAGCAACGCCGCGUGAAUGAUGAAGGUCUUCGGAUUGUAAAGUUCUUUUCUCAGGGAAGAAGCAAGUGACGGUACCUGAGGAAUAAGCCUCGGCUAACUACGUGCCAGCAGCCGCGGUAAUACGUAGGAGGCAAGCGUUAUCCGGAAUGACUGGGCGUAAAGGGUGCGUAGGUGGUGAGACAAGUUGGUAGCGUAACCCCGAGGCUUAACCUCGGCACUACUACCAAAACUGUUGGACUCGAGUGCAGGAGGGGCAAAUGGAAUUCCUAGUGUAGCGGUGGAAUGCGUAGAUAUUAGGAGGAACACCAGUGGCGAAGGCGAUUUGCUGGACAGUAACUGACACUGAGGCACGAAAGCGUGGGGAGCAAACAGGAUUAGAUACCCUAGUAGUC